rnacentral:misc_RNA from 1 species
GAUGAAGAACGUAGCGAAAUGCGAUAAGUAAUGCGAAUUGCAGAAUUCAGUGAAUCAUCGAAUCUUUGAACGCACAUUGCGCCCGCCAGUAUUCUGGCGGGCAUGCCUGUCUGAGCGUCGUUUCGACCCUCGCGCCCGGCUUCUGUCGGGGGCGGUGUUGGGGAUCGGCCACACCCUUCAGUGGGAGGCCGGCCCCUAAAUUCAGUGGCGACCACGCUGUAGCCUCCCCUGCGUAGUACUAAAACCACCUCGCAGGCGGAGAGCGGUGCGGCCCGCCGUAAAACCCCCCAACUUUUACAAGGUCGACCUCAGAUCAGGUAGGAAUACCCACUGAACUUAAGCAUAUCAAUAAGCGGAGGA